rnacentral:rRNA from 1 species
CCUACGGGAGGCAGCAGUGAGGAAUAUUGGUCAAUGGGCGUAAGCCUGAACCAGCCAAGUCGCGUGAGGGAUGAAGGUUCUAUGGAUCGUAAACCUCUUUUAUAAGGGAACAAAGUGCGGGACGUGUCCCGUUUUGUAUGUACCUUAUGAAUAAGGAUCGGCUAACUCCGUGCCAGCAGCCGCGGUAAUACGGAGGAUCCGAGCGUUAUCCGGAUUUAUUGGGUUUAAAGGGUGCGUAGGCGGCCUUUUAAGUCAGCGGUGAAAGUCUGUGGCUCAACCAUAGAAUUGCCGUUGAAACUGGGAGGCUUGAGUCCGCGGAAAGCAGGCGGAAUUCGUCGUGUAGCGGUGAAAUGCUUAGAUAUGACGAAGAACCCCGAUUGCGAAGGCAGCUUGCUGCAGCGGAACUGACGCUGAUGCUCGAAAGCGCGGGUAUCGAACAGGAUUAGAUACCCGAGUAGUC